UCUUCAAGGACUUGAGAGCAUUAGGCCUGGAGAGAAGCGACAGGAAAUGUCCUCAGAGCUUAAAGAACAUUCCAGAUUUUAAGCAUUAAUCUAGAAACUCGCCAUCUGCACCCUUGCUUGUACCCUUCUGAUCAUCUUUUUAAAUUUUUAAAUGUAUGAGGUAGGACUUGAACCACAGCGUCCCUGGAGGUCUCUUCAAGCCCCGUCACCUGCCAUUCGGUGUCAUUACGGGAGUGACGCAGGAUUUCUUCGAAACAUUCCAAUGAAGAAAUUUUUGGCUGCUGCUCGUGGUCCUCCCCGCUCUGGUGCAGAGGAGCGACUUUGGGGGUGUAUCCUCGCAUGUGCCUAUGGGCAGAGAAAACCAGGUUCUGGCCCCCGAGAGGCCCUGUUCUCAGAAACUGUUUCGUGCUUACUGAAUGAAGAGUGGGGACGCCGAGAUUUCUGUGAAUGACCGUGCACUUUUUUGUCUCCACGCUGAAGACCUUCCUUUGAUCAUCUUGCUGAACUGAAAAGGAGCCUGAGGGUAACCACCAGUGGACAUCUCUCACUCUGUACCCCAGUCAGUCUCUGUACCUUCUGUGGAAAUCUUAGCUCAGUGGUGGCAAACCUAUGGCUUGUGUACCCCAGCAGGCUGUUAUCACUGAAAGCUCUAAAAGGUUCCCUAUCCCUGUCCUAGCUGCACCCUUAGAUCAAAUACACAGGAGGAGGGGAUGCUUAGGAUCUGAGCACACAGGGAAGUAGGAAUCACCCAGUGGCCAGUCUUUGGGAGCUUACAGAGAGCAACUGCAGCACCUUCUCUAGUGCAAAAGAAUUUGUCCACUCUGGUGACCUGUGAUUACCAUUAGUAGAGAUUUUUCAUCAUAAAAGUGGUCAUUGUGCACAUUUCCAAAAAGGAAAGAAUGAAAAAAAAGUGAAAGUCAUUUGUAACCUUCAGGGGAAAAGCCCUAUUGUUCAUAUUUUGGGAAAACAUGUUGAGAAUUUUCCCAGAAUUCAGAUAAUACAAAUAUGUAACUUACUUUUUGGAGGGGUGGGGAGUAAUCUGCUUUAAAAAUAAUCAUAAAAAGUUUAGUGUAAAAAGUUGUUAUAAACAUUCAUAAUAGCUGCAUAAUAGUCAUACAUGGGUCAUUGUAAAAUUUCUGCACAUUUCCUGUUACAUAUUUAGGUGUUUCUAAUUUUUCUUAUCAAAAUCUGUAAGCCCUCAUCUUUAUGCAUAAAGGUUUUCUUCUUUUGGAUUAUUUCCUCAUAAUCGUUUCUCACAUGUGGAGCUGCACAUAUUUCAAAAGAAAAGAUGCACAGCUGCAGGGAAUGUUGAUGAAUAUAACUUGGGGAAGACCAUGUGGCUGCUGGCCAAAUUCUGCCAGAUUGGGAUUAAGAUCAAUUGGAUAAACAACUGUAUGGAUGAUUAUGGAAGGCUUCUAUGAUCUAAUCCUCUGAACUUGUGAAUCGGUUACCUUGCAAGGCAAAAGGGAUCUGGCAGAUAUGACUUCAUUAAAGAUUUUGAUCUGAGAGGUUACCUAGGGUUAUCCAGCUGAGCACAGUGUGAUCUCCGAGGUCCUUGUGAGAGAGAGGAAAAGAGAGCUGAUAGAAAGGAAUGUGAAGCAAAAGCAGAGAAGGAGAUUUGAAGAUGCUUUUGAAGAUGAUUUUGAAGGUGGAGGAUGAGCUCACAAGCCUAGGAAUGUGGGCAGCCUCUGGAAGCUUGAAAAUGUAAGGAAAUGGAUUUUUCCUUAAAGCCUCAAAACCAAAACAAAACAAACAAGAAAAACCCAUCAGCUCUGCCAACAUGUUGACUUUAGCUUGGCAAGACUGACUUUGGACUUCUGACCUCUAAAACUGUAAAAUAAUAAAUUUGUGUUAUUU
rnacentral:lncRNA from 1 species